GGCGGCGGCGACGACGGUGACGGCGACGGCUUGUGGCUUCCGUUCGCCUCCCUCUGUUCCCCCGGCGAGUCUUCCAGUUCGGCCUUCUCCGCCGCACGUCCAGCGGCGCCGUCUUCCGGGAUCUCCGCCGCCUUCGGCAAAAUAUCGUACUCCUCGUUAUCUCCACCAGGCUUCUUGCUCGUGGCCUCGGCCAGCAGCGCCGACAGCCCCUGGAUUUUGCCGAGGGCCGCCGCUUCCCGGGCCCGUAGGUCGUCGUUCUCCUGGCUGAUGCUCUGCAAUUCGUUUUCCUUGUCCAGCAGCCGCUCCUUCAACUGCAGGUUCUCGGCUUUGGCCGCCUCGACGGACUCGUUGGCCGACCCAGCAUCCACUUCCGCCUUCCUCAGCCGGUUCAGCAGCUCGUCUCCUUCUUCCCUCGCAGCCUUCGCCACGGCCUCCGCUCCUUGCAGUUUCAUGAUCAGCUCACUCAUUUCGUCUUUCAGCACGAGGAACUCCUCCUCCGACCUUCCGACCGGCGGAUCGAGCUCCUUCUGCUCCAAUGCCGAUCUCAGACCUUGGACCUCCAGCUCGGACCUCUCCAGGGCGCUCUUCAGGGAACUGAUCUCCUCUUUGGCCUCAUUCAGCAGGAU
rnacentral:lncRNA from 1 species